rnacentral:tRNA from 1 species
GGGCCCGUGGUGUAGUGGCAGCAUUGCGAGACUCGCCAUUUCGCAGGGGCCGGUUCGAUUCCGGCCGGGUCCA